UACGGGGGGGGCAAGCGUUGUUCGGAAUUACUGGGCGUAAAGGGUUCGUAGGUGGCUUGUUAAGUCAGACGUGAAAUCCCUCGGCUUAACCGGGGAACUGCGUCUGAGACUGAUGAGCUCGAGUGCAGGAGAGGAACGCGGAAUUCCGGGUGGAGCGGUGAAAUGCGUAGAGAGCCGGAGGAACACCGACGGCGUAGGCAGCGCCCUAGACGAGACCUGACGCUCAGGCACGAAAGCGCGGGGAGCAAACAGG
rnacentral:rRNA from 1 species